rnacentral:rRNA from 1 species
UACGUAGGGACCAAGCGUUGUUCGGAUUUACUGGGCGUAAAGGGCGCGUAGGCGGCUUAACAAGUCACUUGUGAAAUCUCCGGGCUUAACUCGGAAUGGUCAGGUGAUACUGCUUUGCUAGAGUGCAGAAGGGGCAAUCGGAAUUCUUGGUGUAGCGGUGAAAUGCGCAGAUAUCGGGAAGAACACCUAUGGCGAAGGCAGCUCUCUGGGACGGUACUGACGCUGAGACGCGAAAGCGUGGGUAGCAAACAGG